GCCUAACACAUGCAAGUCGAACGAGAGAUGAGGAGCUUGCUCUUCAAAUCGAGUGGCGAACGGGUGAGUAACGCGUGAGGAACCUGCCUCAAAGAGGGGGACAACAGUUGGAAACGACUGCUAAUACCGCAUAAGCCCACGGCUCGGCAUCGAGCAGAGGGAAAAGGAGCAAUCCGCUUUGAGAUGGCCUCGCGUCCGAUUAGCUAGUUGGUGAGGUAACGGCCCACCAAGGCGACGAUCGGUAGCCGGACUGAGAGGUUGAACGGCCACAUUGGGACUGAGACACGGCCCAGACUCCUACGGGAGGCAGCAGUGGGGAAUAUUGCACAAUGGGGGAAACCCUGAUGCAGCGACGCCGCGUGGAGGAAGAAGGUCUUCGGAUUGUAAACUCCUGUUGUUGAGGAAGAUAAUGACGGUACUCAACAAGGAAGUGACGGCUAACUACGUGCCAGCAGCCGCGGUAAAACGUAGGUCACAAGCGUUGUCCGGAAUUACUGGGCGUAAAGGGAGCGCAGGCGGGAGAACAAGUUGGAAGUGAAAUCCAUGGGCUCAACCCAUGAACUGCUUUCAAAACUGUUUUUCUUGAGUAGUGCAGAGGUAGGCGGAAUUCCCGGUGUAGCGGUGGAAUGCGUAGAUAUCGGGAGGAACACCAGUGGCGAAGGCGGCCUACUGGGCACCAACUGACGCUGAGGCUCGAAAGUGUGGGUAGCAAACAGGAUUAGAUACCCUGGUAGUCCACACCGUAAACGAUGAUUACUAGGUGUUGGAGGAUUGACCCCUUCAGUGCCGCAGUUAACACAAUAAGUAAUCCACCUGGGGAGUACGACCGCAAGGUUGAAACUCAAAUGAACUGACGGAA
rnacentral:rRNA from 1 species